CUAAAAAUGAAAAAGACAAACAGACAAACAAUAGUACACAUGAUACAACAUAGAAAAUUAAAGAAUAAGCAACACGAACCCCACCAAAAACUAGGGAUGAUCUCAGGUGAUCUGGAAGGGUAAGCAGAUCCUGCUCCACAUGUGACACCCGUCUCGUCCUUUCUAUAGAAAGAUUCAUCUGACGAUACCAAAACCUUGUUGAUACACAUUCCGUAUCAAAUUCACAUAUAAAUAUUAUACAUGAUCAGUUAUCUUAAUGUAUAGAUUUUAAUCACGCGUUAUGGUGUUUUUUCUUUCCCUUUGUAAAUGAUUAACCUUGACGGUCUAGUCCUUUUUUGGUAAUAUCCUUUUGACGUGGUUCAGUACUUAUACAUCCCAG
rnacentral:lncRNA from 1 species